GACGAACGCUGGCGGCGUGCCUAAUACAUGCAAGUAGGACGCAGUUGCGAACGGGUGAGUAACGAGUAGGUAAGUACCUAUUAGAGGGGUAUAACUAUUGGAAACGAUAGCUAAUACUGCACACUAGUAGAUGGACCUUCGUUGUAUUAGCUUGUAGGUAGGGCAAUGGCCUAACUAGGCAGCGAUACCUAGCCGACUUGAGAGGGUGAUCGAGCAAACUGGGACUGGUAACCGGCCCAGACUCCUACGGGAGGCAGCAGUAGGGGAUUAUCGGCAAUGGGGGGAACCCUUAACGAGCAACGCCGCGUGAGUUGAGGAGGUUUUCGGAGCGUAAAGCUCUGUUGUUAAGGAAGCGGUACUUACCCAGAAAGGGCCGGCUAACUACGUGCCAGCAGCCGCGGUAAUUC
rnacentral:rRNA from 1 species